UGAGGCCCCUACUCUGCAUAUGUUCA
rnacentral:piRNA from 1 species